UUAAUCAACUCUGUGUGUCUCUCUCUAUAAAAUAUAUCUUGUAAAUAAAGAAAGAUUUCUGGUGGUGUAAAUAAUUAAACUGUUCGAUCGAUCUGAGCUGAAGCAAGACAUGAACGAGAACCCUAAGUAUGCUUACCCAUAUCCUGCUCAAGGUUAUUAUCAAGGACCGCCCGUGAUGGCGCCUCCACAGUAUCAGUACGGUGCUCCUCAACAACCACCGAGAGAACGCAGUUUCCUUGAGGGCUGUCUUGCUGCUUUAUGUUGUUGCUGCCUCAUUGAUGAAUGCUGCUGUGAUCCCUCUUUCUUCUGUGUUCUUUAAAUAUGUCAUAUUUUAUAAGUAUGCAUAUAUUAUGUGUACUCUUGUUAGAUAUUUAAUCUUCUUCUUAA